GGGUCGUUAGCUCAGUUGGUAGAGCAGUUGACUUUUAAUCAAUUGGUCGCAGGUUCGAAUCACGACCCACCA
rnacentral:tRNA from 1 species